GCUCAAUGAACCAUCUAAGAUUGAAUCAUGUUAUGCAUUCAACGACAUCUAGAACCAUUCUCGUUAUUUUGGUAUUCAUGCAACAACUGUUAUUUCUUGUUUAUAGCGGUGUAUCGUGAUGAAGUAACUCUUGUCCUUGUCUAUCAGCUUGAAGUGUCCUCAGUCAGGAGAAGGCUCCAAUAACUUUAUGGUUGGUGGAUCUACACCUGCCCAAGCAAGCCCAGUGACAUGCACUGCGGCUCAAGAUGCUUCGACCUGCACGCCACAAUGAUCACUCGAGGUUUGCAUCACGAAUGCCGUCGACGGUGGGCAUACAUGAUGCGGUGGACACUCAUUGCAUAUUGUAGGUUGAACUCAUGCUUUCGUUUGUGAACUCUUGUUGCAUAUGUAAUGUUGUUGUGAACCCUCCUUGAAUAUGUAUGCAUGCUUUUGUGAAACUAUAUUGGAUAUGUAUGAGUGUGUGGACUUUGAACUCA